rnacentral:rRNA from 1 species
UAAUGUGUCCUAAAUACCCCGAAGGCACCAGUUCCUAUCUAAUCUUGGAUGCUAAACAGAGUCAGCCCUGGUUAGUACUUGGAUGGGAGACCAUGAAGGAAUACCAGGGGCUGUUUGCC